ACUAGCUGUGCCCGGCCACGCGUUGCUGUGGAGUUGUCUGGUGGUGUUGGUGAGAAAUUUGAGUUAGUGGUGGUAUUGAAUGUCUGUUGUAUGGUUGUCUUUAUGUUUAGUUUGUAUUUGGUUUUUUGUGUACUGUGAAAGUGGUGAGAGUAGAGGGGGUCUUUGUCCCUGUGUAGUAUUGUAUAGUAUUUAUAUGUUGUCCAAGUGUUGUGAAUGCUUAGAUUGUNNNNNNNNNNNNNNNNNNNNNNNNNNNNNNNNNNNNNNNNNNNNNNNNNNNNNNNNNNNNNNNNNNNNNNNNNNNNNNNNNNNNNNNNNNNNNNNNNNNNUGUUAUUAUUAUGUUAUGUAUGUAUCAUGAUCAUCAUCUUCAUUAUCAUCAUUAUUAUUAUAUAGUGGGUGGAUGGCCAUCUUUCAGGAGUGGUUGGAUUGUGUUGUCUUGCAUGGUAGAAGGAGGUUGUACUGGAUGGCCUUUAGGGGUCUCUCCUAUCUCUGUGACUGUAGGAUUCUAUUAUUAUUUUUAUUGUGGAGAUUGUGGAGAUAUUGGAUGGCCAUCUGUCAGGAGUGUUUGGAUUGUGUCCUCCUGUACGGUAGAAGGAAGUUGUACUGGAUGAUCCUUAGGGGUGUCUGCAAACCUUAGGAUUGUAUGAUGUUGUUGUUGUUGUUGUUAUUAUUAUUAUUAUUAUUAUUAUUAUUAUUAUUAUUGUUGUUGUUAUUUUUAUUGAGCGGCUGGGUGGCCAUCUGUUGGGAGUGCUUGGAUUGUGUCCUGCAUGGCAGAUCGUGGGAGGUGUUAGCUGGCCCUGAUUGUUUAGUGUCUGGAAUUCCCCUGUUUUAAGAGUGUUGUUUUUUAUUUGGUGUUCUGAUUUUAAGCAUGUUAAAAUAUUAGGAGUCAGAUUGUGUUGAUUGUAAUGGUUCAUAGCAUAUAUUUAAAAUAAUGAGUAUUAAAAUGGGUUGGAUAUUCUAGAAGGUUGGAUAAGGGAGAGUGUAGUGGGGAUAAAUAAUAUAAAUAAAUAAAGUGUGUAUAUAUAUAUAUAUAUAGAGAGAGAGAGAGAGAGAGAGAGAGAGAGAGAGAGAGAGAGUAUAAUUGUAUAUCUUGUAGAGCCUCUGUGUGUCUUUUUGGAGUAGUGCUUCUAUGUGUCUUUGUGGAGUAGUGUAGAAUGACUGGUGGUCGGGUUUGUUUCUCUUUCUUUCUGUUGUGAGAGUGAAUAAUCCGGAUGAUGGGCGGGCGCUAGGACCCAUGGGACAGCUUUUUCCCAUUGCCUGCCUUUCCUCUAGCUAGCGAGCUGGAUUGUUCUGGUCUGGCCAUGAGGCUUCUCCCCCCCCCCCCGGGCAUGGCUCCCCGCGUCCGUGGUUCUCUCCUUUUAGUGAGGGAAAGUGGGUGCCGCCCAUUGUUGCUCUCGUGUUCAGGAGAAGCAGGAGGAGCAGGAAGAGUGCGGUUGACAUGCUGGUCAUGGAGAAGGCCAGAGGUUCUGCCGUAGGUGAGACACGUGGGGUGGGAGGCUGGGAGGGGAGAUGAGAGAGAGGUGUGUGCACAAGCGUAGAUGGUGCAUUGUGGGUUUGUGUGAUUUUCUGUCCGUGUGGAGGUGCGUGACGUGAUCUUUUGUUGUUUCAACCUUAAGGCAUGGAUGUUGUAUUUUGUGGUUAAAUUGCUAGGUAGGGGGGUGUUUAGUUUUGUUGUUUUGCUUGGCGCCGGGAUAUUCUAUUACCUAUAUAUAUAUGUGUGUGUGUGUGUGUGUGUUUAAUGGUUUUAAAUUGUAUUUUACGUUUACUGUUUUUAAUGAUUUUAUGUUAUGUUAUGAGGCAUUGAAUGUUUGCCUAGAUGUAUGAGGUAUAUCGCUCUGAGUCCCCUGAGGGGUGAGAAUAGCAGGUUAUAAAUGAAGUAAAUAAAUAAUAAAGAACCUUAAAAACUGUGUCAUAGACACCGAGAAUUGGGAAGCCCUGGCCCUUGAGCAUUCUAACUGGAGGUCAGCUGUUACCAACAGUGACAAGGAAUUCAAAGAGGCAUGAAUGGAGGGCGAAAGGGAGAAACAUUUCAAGAAGAAGGUGCGUCAAGCCAACCCUUGUUGGGAUUGCCUUCCAUCUGGAAAUCAAUGUCCUCGCUGCGAAAGAACAUGCAGAUCAAGAAUAGUCACUUACAGACCCACCGCUACACCAGAAAGGCAAUCAUACUCGGUCAUGAGUGAUAGCCUAUGAUGAUGACAUAUAUAAGAAAGUCUACUUGUCAUUGGUCAGUAGAUUAAAGCACAGUGGGUAAAAUGUAUGUCAUGCUCUUAAGAAUUUUGCCAUUUUUCUUUUCUUUUUGAGUUUAGGCAUAUAUAUCCUUAUCAAUAUUACCACAAAGUACAGGGGCGAGGCAAUACUUUGAUAAAUCAGUAUGGCUUGCUUGUUAUUUCUUAAAUGUCAGCAGUCAUGAGUUUAAUUUAUUUAUGAAAAAGAACAGAGAUGAUGAUGAUGAUGAUGAUGAUGAUGAUGAUGAUGAUGAUAGUAAUUUUAUUACAUUGAACAAUCAGAUAGACAUUUUGUUUUGUUCAGAGACUUUUAUUUUGUUUGGAGGCUGCAGUAGAAUAGGAUUAUUAAAUAUGACUUAAGGGCCAGGCUGUGGCACAGGAUGGUGAGCAGCCUGCUGCAAUAAAUCACUCUGACCAUGAGGUCAUGAGUUCGAGGCCAGCCCGUGGCGGGGUGAACACCCGUCAAUAAAAAAAUUAAAAACAUAGCCCCUGCUUUGUUGCUGACCUAGCAACCCAAAAGAUAGUUGUAUCUAUCAAGUAGGAAAUAAGGUGCCACUUAUAAAGUGGAGAGGUAAAUUUAACUAAUUUACGACGUUGGAAUGAGGAAGUGCCAACACAGUGGAUGAUGAAGCAGCUGCUCCCCCCUGUGGCCAAAAUCGAACAUCCCCUCAGGAGAAGGUUGAAUUGCCUCUGUCUCUGUCUCAGUUCUAUGUGUAUAUGGGCAUUGAAUGUUUGACCUAUAUGUAUAUAAUGUGAUCCACCCUGAGUCCCCUUCGGGGUGAGAAGGGCGGAAUAUAAAUACUGUAAAUAAAUAAAUAAAAGCUGGAAGUCAGUUAAAGUUGAAGGAAGGAUAGUAGUAAUAUUUUGAGUAAUCCAUGGUUUUAAGUAUGCAUAAUACAGCAUCAGUACUUAGAGCAGAAGCUCAAUAAAGAAAAAUGUAGAAUAGGAAUGGAAAUAAUAGUUACAAUACUUGAAAAUUGUUAAAAUAUGUUUCUUAAAGAUUGGGAUACUCUGAUAAGCCUGGAGUGAUGAGAAUCUUAGCAGUGUGGGCCAUAUUCUGCACAAAAAUUCCUCCCCCUGAAAAAAAGCAUUUGCUACAGAGAUAAUUCAGUGAGAAUUAGCUUUUCAGUUAAAAAAAUCUAUUGCAAAAAAAAGUGC
ensembl:lncRNA